GAACACACCAUCACCACACACUUGGCGUCCCCUUUAACACAAUACCAUAUCACACACAGGUACAGAUAGUCACACACACGCUGAUGCUACCACAGUGGACCAUAAAUACAAUUGUGUCAAUAAAGUUUAUUCAAACAAACAACCGCACGUCACACCACAAUGGCGGCCAGCACAACAGUGACAGUUCUGACUCCCAAUGGAAGAAGACAAACCGUAAAAAUAUCACCAAACACACCUUUGCUACAGGUCCUCGAAGACGUCUGCAAGAAACAUGGAAUUAAUCCUGACGACUACGGUUUAAAAUUUCAGAGGAACGUUCUGGACCUGUCGCUUCAGUGGAGGUUUGCCAGCGUGCCAAACAAUGCCAAGCUGGAGGUGGUGACCAGCACCCGGAAACAGACAGGGACCGACAGCCCGGUGGGUGAAACUAGUGUGUGUGUGG